AAAAGUCCCUGUUAUUCUGUGGGACUACAUUACCCAGAAUUCCUAGCCGUCAUGUGACGAGCGCGGAGGGAUACAGUUCCCACUCAUGCUCUACGUAGCUCACGAAGCCAUGCGGUGAAUCUGGGUUGUUGAGACUGGUGUGCGUCAUAUAAAUAAACCACACCCACAUUCAAACCCAGUCUGUAAACCGAUGUUUUCGCCAAUUAAAGGCAGUUCUUUGCAACC